CUUUUCCAUCCAAACUCGAGCCUCAUCCAACCAAGUGAUUCUUGCAGUCUCUGCUUGGAGAUGGGUUUACCAAAAAACAUUUGAUCAUUUCUUGUAAGCCGUAUGGUCAAAUUUGGUUGCCAACUUUAGCAACUAAAACAAUAUUUGCUGUUGGAGACGAGAUAUGCAUUUGAUUGUGAGCGAAAUAUUAGUUUGUGCUGCUUCCGCAAAGUAUCAACUCAGCCGCAUGUCCUCCUUGCUCAGGUGAUUUCUCUGGUCAGACAUGAAUAUGCUAUUGAGGAUGUACUCAGUGGUAUUCCAAGCAAAGCAUGACCAAUAUUUUUAUAGCAAGACGGAAGCGACAUUGUAUCAGAAGACCCCUGAUGCAGCCCGCGGAGUCGAAAGGUAAGUCAUGCUACAAGAAAAGUUAC